rnacentral:rRNA from 1 species
UACAGAGGAGCCAAGCGUUGUCCGGAUUGACUGGGCGUAAAGCGCACGCAGGCGGACGCGCGCGUGGGGUGUGAAAUCUGGCCGCUUAACGGCCAGGCGCCAUCCCAUACGGCGGGUCUGGAGUGAUGCAGAGGGCGGUGGAAUUGCCGGUGUAGUGGUGAAAUGCGUAGAGAUCGGCAGGAACACCCAGGGGGAAACCAGCCGCCUGGGCAUCGGACGUGACGCUGAGGUGCGAGAGCGUGGGGAGCGGAACCGG